AAAUAAGGGCGUAUGGCGGAUGCCUUGGCUCUCAGAGGCGAUGAAGGACGUGAUAAGCUGCGAUAAGCUGCGGGGAUUAGCACAUAUGAAUUGAUCCGCAGAUUUCCGAAUGGGACAACCCAAUAUAUUGAAGAUAUAUUAUUCGAAAGAAGGCUAACCCGGAGAACUGAAACAUCUAAGUACCCGGAGGAAGAGAAAACAAUAGUGAUUCCGCAAGUAGUGGCGAGCGAACGCGGAACAGCCCAAACCAUAGCAGUUAAGGCUACUAUGGGGUUGUAGGACUGCAACAUGGACUUAUACAAUGAACAUGAACUGGGUGGGAAACCAGACCAAAGAGGGUGAGAGUCCCGUAACGGAAAGUUGUAUAUACCUAGCAGUAUCCUGAGUAGGACGGGACCGGAGAAAUCCCGUUUGAAUCCACCGGCACCAUCCGGUAAGGCUAAAUACUCCUGAGAGACCGAUAGUGAACAAGUACCGUGAGGGAAAGGUGAAAAGUACCCUGAAUAAGGGGGUGAAAUAGUACCUGAAACCAUACGCUUACAAACGGUCGGAGCAGCUUUGUGCUGUAACGGCGUGCCUUUUGCAUAAUGAGCCUACGAGUUAGUGUUGUUGGCAAGGUUAAUACUUUAAGAGUUGAAGCCGAAGCGAAAGCGAGUCUUAACAGGGCGAUCAGUCAGCAGUACUAGACGCGAAACUUGGUGAUCUACCCAUGACCAGGGUGAAGUGUGAGUAACAUCACAUGGAGGCCCGAACCAGUUGACGUUGAAAAGUCUUUGGAUGAGUUGUGGGUAGGGGUGAAAGGCCAAUCAAA
rnacentral:rRNA from 1 species